GCCCGGGUAGCUCAGCCUGGGAGAGCGUGCGGCUGAAGACCGCAUAGUCGCCGGUUCAAAUCCGGCUCCGGGCA
rfam:Archaeoglobus sulfaticallidus PM70-1, complete genome.